AGUGAACGCUGGCGGUAGGCCUAACACAUGCAAGUCGAACGGCCGCACAGUAAGAGCUUGCUCUUACGGUUGGCGAGUGGCGGACGGGUGAGGAAUACAUCGGAAUCUACUUUUUCUUGGGGGAUAACGUAGGGAAACUUACGCUAAUACCGCAUACUACCUACGGGUUAAAUCAAGGGUGCUUCGGACCUUUCGCGAUUGAAUGAGCCGGUGUCGGAUUAGCUAGUUGGCGGGGUAAAGGCCCACCAAGGCAACGAUCCGUAGCUGACCUGAGAGGAUGAUCGGCCACACUGGAACUGAGACACGGUCCAGACUCCUACGGGAGGCAGCAGUGGGGAAUCUUGCACAAUGGGCGAAAGCCUGAUGCAGCAAUACCGCGUGAGUGAAGAAGGUCUUCGGAUUGUAAAGCUCUUUUGUUGGGAAAGAAAAUAAGCAGGUUAAUCCCCCGCUGUUCUGACGGUACCCAAUGAAUAAGCCACGGCUAACUUCGUG
rnacentral:rRNA from 1 species